rnacentral:lncRNA from 1 species
AGUAUUAUGUGAUUACAUGAGUAAAUGUCUAUAAACCUCUUUGAGGCCUAUGGGGAUCAUUUCUCUACAUACUUGCUACAUACAGUUUCAUAGUUUUGCAGGGUCAUUUCUUCUGAGGACUUCAGUCAAUGUUUCAGAUCUGCAAAAUGAUUGAGGUCUGAAAUCUGGGCAUUUGAAAUAUUUUAUUGCGCCUGGUGCCUUAAGUCUUCUUUCUUGAUUUCUUUUGAUUAUAUGGAUUGUGCAAUGCCCUUGUUGGUUACCCAUCUAGGUUGCUCCUAAGGAAGCUAUGUUUUCUUAACCAUUUCCACAGUACCCCGUGGUUCAGGUCCCCAUUUGCCAUACCAAUCUUGCAGCUCAGUAAGUUCAUUGGAACAGCCUAAUGUUGAGUUUAUUUUUAUUUUAUUUCUGACAGUUAAGUGCCAUCACCUGGCCUCUAUUAUUCUGUAAUUCCCAAUUCUAAUGUUGAGCCCAAUUGUAACAGAAUCUCCCAUUGUUUUCUCUUACAGUGAAAAAGUCACACUGAGUUUUUUAAUAGCUCCUUUCACUAGAGCAUAAUUGAUCAUUUUGGUAGAAGUACCCCCAACUCCAUCCCUGGAACAUGUCAGCUGGCAGAUUUUCUAACUCAUAUAGAUAUCCACCUAGCACACCUGCUUCACUAUUUGCUACUGCAGUUAUUUCUUUUCUAUAUCAUUUACUGUGGGCCAAUGCUGUUUCCAAACUUCUAAGUGUCACCUCAGUUAGAAUUAGAACCAUCUAAUUAGCAUAUUAAGAAUCAAUAUACCACUACCAUCUUCUGAAAUCCUUGGCAUAUUAUUAGACCCUGUAUUUCGAGAGAAUAUCUCCAUGUCAAUAAACUCUUCAUUGUCCAACCUUCUGUUUCAUCCACAUCCUCUCCUCCCUUCCCUACUCUUGACUCCAUGGUCUACUAGCCUCAGAAUAUGGCCCAUACAUAAUUUACAGGCUCCUGCUGGUACAUAUUGACUAAAUCAUGAUUCUUUCUCAGGAUAUAGUCCAUUUCUUCUCCUCUAGUCCCAGCACUUCCUUGGCCAUCUGUGGCCUGAUAUUACGUCUUGAUCUGGUGGCUGGAAGGGGAUGUCAGACUAGAUUUUUAUGAUGGGGUGGGGUACAAUCUAGAGACUGCUGCAUCGUCUCUAAGCAAGGGAAACGGGGACCCUUUGAUUCCUCUAACAGAGAGGGACAGAACCUUCUUGUCCCAGAGUCCCAGUACUAUCCAAGCACAGCCUUGAUUUUAUGUAGUUGAGAUUUCAAACUUCUUUGGAGAUCUGCUACUGGUCUCGAUCCUCUACUUUUUCUGUACUAGGUUGUCAAAGAUAAGAGUUAAUUUAUAUGCAGCUUAGGAGGAUCUAUGAAUUUCACAUUUGCUUUUGAUUUAUUAAAUUACCCUCAGCCUUUCAGUGUCUUUCUACAAUGCAACAAUUAUGCUCAGCAAGAGCAUCCGAUUCCAUUGUCCUCAUAACUAGUACUUGUACUGAACCUUCCAAAAGCCUGCUAGGUUACACCAGCCUGUGCAGUCCCCUUUUCCAGUGUUUCAUCUGUUUCAGUGGAAGAAAGUUUAAUAACGAUCAAUUGCAUCAAACUUCAUUCUAUCUUCUUGUUUGAUAUGUUUUCUGCUAAACAAAAUUCAAACCGAGUUGCAAGGCCAUACUUCAGCAUCUGGAAGAACAUAAAUACUUUAUUAAAUCUGUAAAUAUUAGAUUUUUUUGGACCUAUGUGAUAGUUUUCACUAAGUCUAAUCACUUAUUCCUUUUUAACAUAUUGCAAAUAGAACAAGGCUAAUUUUAAUAGCUUAUAUAUUGGAACUUGGUUCUAUUUACUGGAAUGCCUCCUAUUCAAAAUAAGACAUAGAUUGCAACUAAACCAAUGGUUACCAGUGUUCUAAAACUGGCCUAGUCACCCCACCUGAUGUGACCUAGUCUGACCUAGAAGGUUCCAGGCUACAGCUAUUGCUCAAGCUUAUUGGAAGUAGGGAUCCCUGGGUGGCGCAGCGGUUUGGCGCCUGCCUUUGGCCCAGGGCGCGAUCCUGGAGACCCGGGAUCGAAUCCCACGUCAGGCUCCCGGUGCAUGGAGCCUGCUUCUCCCUCUGCCUAUGUCUCUGCCUCUCUCUCUCUCUCUCUCUCUCUCUGUGACUAUCAUAAAUAAAUAAAAAUUAAAAAAAAAUUAAAAAAAAAAAAGCUUAUUGGAAGUAGAUACUAGGAUUCUUGACAGAGAUCCAGUCAUAGUUCUAGAUUAAUUUUAGAAUCAACUGUGUCAACAUUAGUUGUAUCAAUCAUUAUUACUUAUAUAGAGAAGUUAGCCCUAUUACACACACACACACACACACACACACACACACUUCUUAUUAAAGUUCAAUUGGUUAUGACUCAUAAUGGAUACCAGCAAAAUUCUAGUAAUGUUGUCAUAACCUGUGGAACAUAAUGGAAUCAGUUUUCACAGCCUCCCUUAUCUAUACUCCCAGAAGCCUCUGCCUUUCAUUCCCUGUGUAAUUCGUAUCAAGGAAGCAUGGCAUGUUGUCACAGAAGGAAUGCCAUUCUUGCCAAUUUGCAUCCUUGAGGGUAAAGGUCAAAGGCUCCAAGUUUAAUUGAUUUUCUUUGAAGAGAGAAAAGACAAGAUGGAGCUUUGUGAAAAAUCCCUGUGUUUCAAUGCAUGUCAUUUGCCAGUGUGCAAAAAAGCAAGGCUUUCAUCUCCUCAUGGACAUUCAUGCUUGGUUCCUG